GAUGAACGCUGGCGGCGUGCCUAAUACAUGCAAGUCGAGCGAACGGACGAGAAGCUUGCUUCUCUGAUGUUAGCGGCGGACGGGUGAGUAACACGUGGAUAACCUACCUAUAAGACUGGGAUAACUUCGGGAAACCGGAGCUAAUACCGGAUAAUAUUUUGAACCGCAUGGUUCAAAAGUGAAAGACGGUCUUGCUGUCACUUAUAGAUGGAUCCGCGCUGCAUUAGCUAGUUGGUAAGGUAACGGCUUACCAAGGCAACGAUGCAUAGCCGACCUGAGAGGGUGAUCGGCCACACUGGAACUGAGACACGGUCCAGACUACUACGGGAGGCAGCAGUAGGGAAUCUUCCGCAAUGGGCGAAAGCCUGACGGAGCAACGCCGCGUGAGUGAUGGAGGUCUUCGGAUCGUAAAACUCUGUUAUUAGGGAAGAACAUAUGUGUAAGUAACUGUGCACAUCUUGACGGUACCUAAUCAGAAAGCCACGGCUAACUACGUG
rnacentral:rRNA from 1 species